rnacentral:rRNA from 1 species
GAGUUUGAUCCUGGCUCAGAGCGAACGCUGGCGGCAGGCCUAACACAUGCAAGUCGAGCGGCCGUAGCAAUACGGCAGCGGCAGACGGGAGAGUAACACGUGGGAACGUGCCCUUCGGUUCGGAAUAACUCAGGGAAACUUGAGCUAAUACCGGAUACGCCCUAACGGGGAAAGAUUUAUUGCCGAAGGAGCGGCCCGCGUCUGAUUAGCUAGUUGGUGAGGUAAUGGCUCACCAAGGCGACGAUCAGUAGCUGGUCUGAGAGGAUGACCAGCCUCACUGGGACUGAGACACGGCCCAGACUCCUACGGGAGGCAGCAGUGGGGAAUAUUGGACAAUGGGCGCAAGCCUGAUCCAGCAAUGCCGCGUGGAUGAUGAAGGCCUUAGGGUUGUAAAGUCCUUUCGGCGGGGACGAUGAUGACGGUACCCGCAGAAGAAGCCCCGGCUAACUUCGUGCCAGCAGCCGCGGUAAU